UGGGGAAUAUUGGACAAUGGGCGAAAGCCUGAUCCAGCCAUGCCGCGUGUGUGAAGAAGGUCUUCGGAUUGUAAAGCACUUUAAGUUGGGAGGAAGGGCAGUAAGCGAAUACCUUGCUGUUUUUACGUUACCGACAGAAUAAGCACCGGCUAACUCUGUGCCAGCAGCCGCGGUAAUACAGAGGGUGCAAGCGUUAAUCGGAAUUACUGGGCGUAAAGCGCGCGUAGGUGGUUCGUUAAGUUGAAUGUGAAAGCCCCGGGCUCAACCUGGGAACUGCAUCCAAAACUGGCGAGCUAGAGUAGGGCAGAGGGUGGUGGAAUUUCCUGUGUAGCGGUGAGAUGCGUAGAUAUAGGAAGGAACAACAGUGGCGAAGGCGACCACCUGGGCUCAUACUGACACUGAGGUGCGAAAGAGUGGGGAGCAAACAGG
rnacentral:rRNA from 1 species